AAACUGACUAUAAAGAGAAGAAGAUUGCACUAAGAAGGAAAGCACUAGGCUGAAGGGCUGCUACUGUGAGGUCUGACGGACUAAACUGUGGACUAGCCAUUCUUAAAAAUCCUCUUUAGUAUCUUCAACAUGAAGAAACAGCAUUGCAUUAAAAAAAAGAGCAGAAAUAUGCAGAAAUUCCCGAGUAUUAAAGAAAUAAUUGCGACAGCUGCAAUAAUAAGCGAUACAAUUCAAAUUAAAAGGUCAUACACUUAUGAAGUUGCAACAAGAACUGCUCUUACAUGCUGUAGAAUCAUGAGCUGAAAAUAUAAGGGAGAAGAAAACCUUGUUAGCAUUUGAUUAGUAAAUGAAUUGCAAGUCAUCAGAGUGUUGGAGUUAAAAACCGUGAUUAAUUGAGAGAGGUAUUUCCAAUAUACAUAAAGAAGAUUUCAUGCCAUGGAAGAAAGUAAUUUGUAAGAUCUUCUGCAAAAUAGCAUAUAUAGUUCUGACUGCACAUAUUUGCAUAAAUUAAUUUCCCUAAACAGAGGCAGAAAAAGUCAAGGAAAGGAAUCCCUGUCAUACUAACAGAGACUCAAAGAUGUUGACUGGCUUACUUUUCCAAAAAUGAAGACCAGAUUAAGGGGACAUAAGAUAGCAUAUCAAAUAAGCCCACAAAAGAGGAGAAUUAUCACAGCUGAAGGAAGGACAGCACUGGUAGAAGAAAAAAAGUAGAACUUGCUUUGAGUAAAUUCUGGCUGAGGGUGGUCCAGCUCUUACAAGGAGUGAGCUUCUGAAACAGCGCUCUUGUACAAAUAAUAAGGAUGACAGAUUUUAAACAGAGCUUGACAAAUAAAUGAAUGAUAUUACAUAACGUUGUUACCUAUUAUAAAAAAGAAUUGAGCGUGACAUGAGAUAUCUGACUGUCCUAUGUUCCUGUCGCUUUUCCCAAUUCCUUUUCAGCUAGGGUGCCAAGAAGACUGUGCACAGAAAGUUUCCAAGAGUCUGGGGAUACAGCCAUUCGUAUUGGUGCUCACUCUUGAAAAGAAGCAUGUACAUGAGGUUCCACCAAGGUCACCCACACCAGCCUGCAGAAAAGGCUUUCUUUCCUCAUGCCACUACGCCUGCUUGAGUCAUGUCUCUCCAUAGAGAGCCAGCGCACAGCAACAGCUCAGACCCCACACUUGUUCAUCAGCCCCCAUUAGUUCUGGUGACCGUGACAGACUAGCAUUUUUGGAUGCGGGAUUUGGAUACUGCUUACUGAAUGCUGCUGGCUUCACGGACCCAUCCAGUUAUUACUUAUAGUCUGUGAAGGAGAAUACCAGAAAUCACAAGCAUACAAAAAACAUUUCCUCAAUAGCCAUUUCAACACUCCAGUAUGUCCUAACCAAUUAGAUAUUUUACAUCUCUUAAGCAUGAGGUUAAACACGGCACCAAAACCCAUCUGUAGGUUUAAAUGCCUCACUUAAAGUCUUAUGGAGAAUUAGAAUUCUUAUGCAUCCAUCUGGGAGCAUUACAUGUAAGAGCAUUACUGCUAGAGCCCACAUCUAAUUUAAAAACUCUGAACUGAAAAAAACAACCUAGGAACUAAUGAAAAAAGAGGUGUCUGACCUGGUGCAGAUGUCCUUCCAUGAAGAGCAGUUUCAUUAGGCAGGAGAUCUUUUGAGUUGGAAGUGAACGGUGAUUGUCUAAAGGUGUCCUCAGAAAAGUAAGGGCUGUGGGGGAAAUAAGAUAACUUUUUGUAAACAGAACAGCUGUUAAUAGAAAAACUAAUCAGUAUUUUUAACUUUAACCUCUCAAUAUAAUAAAUACCAUCUUGUUAAAAGCCCUGCUUAAUUCACGGAAUUCACGCUGAAAGAACCAGACGGUGAGGUGAGGUGUGGAGAAGAGGCAAGCUUUGGGAAAACUGCACUGUGGAGCAUGCAGAUACCUGAUCAAUCAGGACAAGGUGAAGAGCUGCAGGCCACGUGUGCAAAAGUUAACUUUUCCAAGACUCACACUAUUCCCCCCUCAGGGGUGACAUAAUAUAAAACAGACUGAUGCUGUAUAAAAAUGUGGCAUAAUUCACUGCAACAUUCUUCUCAGUGGCUUAAUAAUGAUGUAAGGUGAGCACAUUGCAGAGACUUUUUCUUCUGCAACUGAAACGCUUUUCCAAUUCUGUCUAGACAAAGCUGCCUUAGUUGUACGUGUUGUACCAAACACCACGUUUGUAUCAAACCACGUUGUAUCAAACUUUGUACGUGCUGGGGAUUUCUGCAGAAGGGGCUGCAGAGACACUGAAGGUCUGACUCUAUCUUUGAAGGAACUCUCCGAUGCUUCAGCCACAGUCAGUCUCCAAAACCACCCACACUGACCACUGAACUUUCAGUUUUACCAAUUCUAGCUGCCAAUUAUUACACAAUAGCUUUAAAUUUUUCCCUUAGGACACCUCACUUUGCUGCUCACAUAUUUAAACAACUUGUCAGUUUGUUCCCAGCCAAAAUACAGUAAAGGGAAUAGUUCUUUAACAACACAUGCUAUAAUCGAACAAUAUUUUUAAUUCCUGCAUAAUUUCACAUAUUGUGUUAAUGCGACUGUAAUCCUGAACAAAAGUUUCAUUAGCAUUGUCUCUUAUAGUCUUUUAAAAUGGACUGAGCUUACCUGACUGUAGUUCUGAUGGUGUUAUCUUUAUUGUGAUUGUGCUCUUUGCUCACCUUUUCUGUGGAGGAAUGUACAUUUUUUUGUGAUUAUAGGAUAUAUCAUAUUUUCCCUAUCAAAUUUUAUUCAGCAGAACUAUUUUAAUGCUUUCUGAUAACAGCA
rnacentral:lncRNA from 1 species